GCUGUUAAUGGGGGAAGCCCUUUAAAUAUUGUCUCAGUUCGGAGCCUGAACAUCCAUAAUGAGGAGGUAAUGAACCUGCUCCUGUUUCUGCUGGCUGUAUUAAUUGCAAAGGGCAGAAAACCUUGCAAGGAAAGAAGAAUUUGCUUUGAGAUCAAGCUCUUGAAAAUCAGUGGUGGAUAUGCAUUUAUUUGGCUUUACCUCGUGACCUUAUUGACCUUUCAUAUUUACAACGCACCUAUAAGACCAUCAGCAACUGCUGUGAUAUAAACUGGUUAAUCGUGGCUGUAUGACAGCUCAAUAAAGAAGCCCAGCUCGACACAAAAGCACUCAAGUCUGCACAGAACAGCGGCGAUCUUUACUGCUGACUGAAUGCUUCACAUUUUCAGGGAUUCUUGCGUCCUCCCCCACAGACGAAAGAAGGAAACUUCUUCAGAUGCAUGUGUCUUUUGUUGUACGCCUACAGAUGCAAAAAUGUUUGCACACUGUGCAGAAGUGGCCCGCUUUGGCAGAGCGUGCCUGGCCCGCCGAAUGCCCAUUGGCAGCUGGGAUCUGGCUGUCCCUGCUGGGAAUGAUGGUCUCAAUUUAAUGGACACCCACACAUAGCAGCCACUGAAUUCAAGAGCUUUCUUUUUUGCAUGUGCUCGGGGUCUCCCGGGGUCAAAUGACUCCUGCACAUUGAGGAUACAUAGAAUGACAUCCUUCUGCAUCAGCCUUCGCUUUGUUUUUCAGUUAAGGUGAACUUCUGUCUAAGAAGAACACGCCAAAACCUGUGAAAUUCUCCUUCUCUCAAGUACAUCGAGGCAAUAAAAAAGGUGCAGAGUAAUUGGUGUAUUUAUCCUUGAGGAAGUGAUAUGUCUGAAGAGAGAGAGAGAGACGGCGUGAAGGAAAUAAGGCUGACGAAACUUGGUGAUCAAAGAUGGCCUGAUAUAUGAGAU
ensembl:lncRNA